GGAGCAGGCGGCGGCAAAGGUCUGUGGUGAAAGACUGAAGCUUAACUUCAGUAAGCCAUAGAAACCGGGCGGCUAGAGUGCAGGAGAGGAUCGUGGAAUUCCAUGUGUAGCGGUGAAAUGCGUAGAUAUAUGGAGGAACACCAGUGGCGAAGGCGACGGUCUGGCCUGUAACUGACGCUCAUUCCCGAAAGCGUGGGAGCAAAUA
rnacentral:rRNA from 1 species